rnacentral:lncRNA from 1 species
CAUAUUUUAAGUAGAAUCGAGUCGUUUUAGUGUCAAUUUACGUUUUUAGGUUUUUAAGUAGUAAAUGAAUAAGAGUGGAACUCACAAGUGUUUACAAGUAAAAAAAAAAAAAACAAGGUAAAAGAUUGAAUUUUUGCACUUUGAAUUUUGAAGGCUUGUUUCUUAUCUUCAUUUGGGAGUCAUUGAACUAUAUUUGUACCAUCUAACAAGUUUGGAGACAUUUGGAGUUGUGAGACACAAAUUGGAGCCAUUGCAACACUAAGUUGACACAUUAAUUAUAUUUUGCAGAUGACUUGUACCAAUACAAGUGUUUUGGUACCAAUAGAAGUCUUAAAAAUUAUAGCCAUUGGAGGUUGUGGUAUCAAUACAAGUGGGCUAAUACCAAUACAAGUUUGAGGGAAGAAUAAAAGGAACUUACCAUUUGACUUGUUGUGAUACAAUUCUUUAAGGGUAUUGAUACAUGUCCAUGGAAAAUUAGAGGUGCUUAUUGUCUGACUUGUUGCGAUACAAGUCUCGACUAGUAUUGAUACAACUCUAGUUGCACCGAUACUCCUAGGGCUUUGUGCAAUACUUCUCCCUUAGGAUCAUGAGAUAGAUUACUAUCUCAAUUGUAUUGAUACAAGUGGGCUAGGGGUAUCAGUACAAGUUUCUAGACUUUACUAAAACAAUUGUAGAGGAAUUUUAGAGGAAUUUUCAAGGACUUUUAGGAUUUUAAACUCAUAAGAAAUACUCUAAAUCAAUUUAAUCAGAUUUAUGAGUUUAAAAAUACUUGAAAAUAAUUUUCUAAGAUUUUGUCAUGAAUUUUGCAAAUUUUUAAUAAGAAUUUUAAGUUAAUUAUGUUACAUCAAAACAUUUGAAAUCAAGGCUAACAAAAAGCUUCCAUGGGAAAACAAAAAAGCAAGAAGGAAAACAUUGUAAGUAGUGUUUGAUUUUAAUCGGGUUUCAUGAUCAGGGACUCUAGGCUGGUUGUGUUUGAAUUCGGGCUCCUAGGGUGAUGAUGGGCGGUUAGGGGGCUUGGCAAUGAUGAAAUGAUGAGCUGGUCAUGGGUGAUUUUAGUGAUGAGGGAAAUGAUGUAGGCUGUGUGGUGACAGAUGUCGAGUUGAGGAUGGUGAUUGAUGAGAGGGUCAUAAAGAGUAAUGAUGGGAAAGGUGAAAAUGGUGGAGGGUCCAAGAGCAAGAGCUGGUGGUAUCCGCGUGGGGCUUGAGGAGUGCUGGUAAUGGAUGCAAAGGAGGUGGUGUGGUUGGAUAAAGGUGAUGGCAAUAAGUUGAGGCAAAAGCCGAGAGAGGUGAAGUAGUGGUGGAAGCUUUCUGUUAAGUGUUAAUUUUGAUAGGAGAUGGUGAAUGAAAUUGUAAUGAUGAUUGGGGAGUCUAUGCGACUGUGAGAAUUGAAGUGAAGGUGCCAAGAGAGAAUUAAGUGGAUGAAAGGAUUGCUCUAUGGUUUAAGGUUUUCUUUUAUUGUAUGGGCUUAAGAAUAUUUAGACCCACAAUAUGUUAGCUUAAAAAAGUAAUAUUUUUUAAAGAAGAUUUCUUUUUUUUUUCAAUAAGAGAAUAACAAAUUAUAUUUUUUUUAAUUUUUAGUUUUUUUUUGCUAUAAAAAUUUAAAUUCAACUAAAAAUGUUAAAAAUAAGGAGAAAAAAUAUGAUUUGUCAUUCUCUUAAUGAAAAUGAAUAGAGAUGACGUGAAAUUACAGUUUCAUAGAAUUCCUUCUCAUAUUUUUGUUGGGAAAAAAAGAGCUUAAAAAUACAUUUGCUGUUAGAAACAAGAAUAAACAAAAUAAAAAGAUUGCACCUCGUGUAUUCUUAUAUCUUGAGCUCUUGUUUAAUUUUUUUCUUUUAAAAAACAAGUUUAAUUUUUGGAGAUUAAGGUUAUUAAAAAAAUUGUUUAGUUAUUGAAAAUUAUUAAUUUAAGAAAAAUGAAUAUAAGUAUUUAAAGAUGUUGAAGGAAUUUUAUUUACAUUCUUGUUAGAAACAAAAAAAAGUCAAUAUCAACAAAAGAAAAAGCCAUAGAACAUAGGGCAAACUAUACUUAUGGUCACUUUUGUUUACUUUAAGUUAUAUUUUAAUCACUUAUGUUUGAAAUGUUACGUUUUAGUCAUUUACGCUAUUGUAUUGUUACAUUUUAGUUACUGAACCGUUAGUUGUCAUUAACGGUGUAAUGGUAAGCUGACGUGACACGUAAAAUCAUCAUUUUAAACAAAAAUUUUAGGUUAAAUUAUACAAGCGAUCCCCAUUUUUUUUAUUUUGAGCAAUUUAAUUUUUUUCUUUUUAUUUUCUUUAAACUUUCCUUUUCUUUUUUUUUUCAUUCUCUUCUGUUUUUUCCUCUAUUUUCCUACCUUCUUCAUUUCUUUUAACAUAUCAAGAAAUCGAAUUGGCAGUGAAGAAAGAAGUGGGAGGUCGAAAGCCAUCAUUGCCUAUAAUCAAAACUCAUAAACCCAUACGAUGGUUCUUUCUUCAUUGCCAAUUCGAAUUCAUGAUAUGUUAAAAGAAAUAGAGAAGGUAGGAAAACAGAGGGGGAAGCAAAAGAGAAUGGAAAAUAAAGAAGAAGAAAAAAGAAAGUUAAAAGAACAUAAAAGAAAAAAUUAAAUUGCUCAAAAUGAAAAAAUAUAGGGGACUAAUUGUACAAUUUAACCUAAAAAUUUUGUUUGAAAUGAUAAUUUGACAUACCACGUCAGUUUACCGUUACAUUGUUAACAAAAAUUAACGGCGCAAUGACUAAAAUGUUACAACAUGACAACGUAAGUGACUAAAACAUAACAUUUCAAAUAUAAGUGACUAAAUUGUAACCUGAGUUAAACAAAUGGGUGUAUUUUACCCUAGAACAUAGACAACUGGGCUUGAAGCAAAAACAUUGAAACAUAAAGGACCAGCUAGCAAAUAACAAAAGUUAAAAACUUAAGUAAAGAUAUUAAAUAGACUUCAGAUCGGAUCUGUGCUGGAUGCUCAAAGAUCUGAUAGGGGCAAAGCAAAGCAAAGCGGAGCCGGAAAAAGAAGAAACCAGAGAAGAGGGGAAAGGGAAAUGGAGCUACUGGAAAUUACAGGAAUGGGGUCUUUGGGAUGAACCAUUCGAAAGCUUUUCAUCGUUUUAGUCAUAAAUUGAAGUUCUUCCCGGAGGCCACCCAUUCCAGUGAUUUCCAGAGGCUUAUCCCUUUCCCUUACAUCUUCCUUGCUUUGUUUAUAUAUGGAAAUGGAAGAAAGUAAGGUCGUAUCUUUGUAAAUUGUUUCUUCUUUUUUUAGUCUCUUCUUGAUCUCAUCUGUUUUGUUAUGAUAUAAAAAAAAAAAAAUCUCAGGCUAGCUGCUUCUGCUUGUAUUGUGAGGGAUCUCAGAUUGUAUGGGAAAUUUGAGCAGGAAAACUGCAGAAUCUAGUCAAUCUUGGAUUUUGGACGAGAAUGUUCAAUUAAUGUUGUUCACUCAUUUCACCUAUACAUUUGAAUUAUGUUAAUGUUCAUAAAUUAUGCUUACAGAAGUUGAUGCGAAUAUAGCAAAGGAGAAGGUACAAAAGGGAUUAUAGGCGUAACGAUGCUUAAUGUUUAGAAUUUCUAUCACUAACUAGUAAUUAACACUAUCACAAUUAAAUUAGUAAAGUCAUGACAGUUUCAUCAUUUUUAUUUAGUUAAGUUGUGAAAUAGAUUAUAAAUUAUAUUUCCUAUAAAAUAAUUUAUACAAAAGAUUAAUAGAAAUAUCUUUUGCCAACCUUUUCUCCCAAAUUGAAAUAGAAACAAAAAAAAAAAAAACAGGAGAGUAAUCAAGGACAUUCAUCUUUUUAAUUUUUUUUAUUGAACAAAGAAAAUCUAAAGGGAAAAUUUCUCGCAUGCUUUUGUUUUUUUAACCUAGGUAUCCACUCUCGACUUCAGUGAUUAAUUUUUUUGAAAAAAUAAAUAAUCAAUUUUAAAAUAUGAUGCAAUUUUGUGAAUGAUAAUUGAAUCCCAACCGAUUUUAUUGCUAUCCAAAUAUAAGAUAAUUGUUGAUUGAAGCACUAAGUCAGUCCCUAGAUUAAUCUAUCCACGGAUCCGCCUCAGUAGGCGUGGUGUGGACCGGCUAGAUUUGAAUAACAACUUCUAUUAGCUUAAUGUUAGAUCGAAUCCAGUGAAAAAAAUUUAAAGUUAAUUGAAUUGACGAGUUUUAUUUUAUCAUCUUAAUAAAAUUUGAAUUUUUUUUCAAAUCGAGUCGAGCGAAACAAAAUUUAAGUCGAAUCGAGUGAAAUAGUUCGAGUUAACUUAAAAAUUUAUAUAUAUCAAAUUAAAAUCUUAUUAUAUUAUAAUUAAUUACAUGGUAGAGCACAAAAUUUUGAAACAUACAUAUUUGAAAACUUUUUCAAAGAAAACAAACAUUUUAGUAUGAUAAACUUGAAUCACUAAUUAACUUAUUUUGUUCUCCAAAAUUAUUAUUUUAGAAAAUUUUAAAAUUUUUAGCUUUUCUUAUAUGUUUUUUAGAAUUUUUUUAUUUUUUUAUAUUUUCUGAAAAAUAUAGAUUUUGAAAUUUUUAUAAAUAUUUUAAAUUUAAAAAAUCAUUCUAAUUUUCUUUUUGUAAUUUUUAUUGAGAGAGACCAAUUUGCUUAUUUUCAAAAUUGAUAGGGACCAAAGGACUAUUUCCACCAAUCUGUUAUUUGAGUGAUUCAAAUUGUAAAAUUCAACUCGAACUCGAAACUCGAAUAACUUGACUCAAUUAACUCGAAAUUCAAAUUUUUUUCAACUUUUUCGAAUCGAAUUGAGUUUUGCUGAUCCCUAACUUCUACACUGAUUUCAUCCCAUCUAAAUUCAAAUUAAGUAAUCUUAAAAAUUAUUUUAUUUAAUUUUAAUUAUAGAAAUAUAAAUAUUAAUAACAUAUUUUUAAAUAUAAAAAAUUAUGAAAUGGUGAAUCUGAUGAAUUUAAGCUCACACCGACCUCUUGUCUAUUGAAGACAAGAAAAUGGUUUGGGGUAUGUCCAUUUUUACCUUUACAUGUGGCUCUAGGCCAUCCAUAAUUUCAUAAUCUUAUUUGCCAUCUAUGCCUUAGGGGUUGAACAUUACAAGAUUUGGAACCACAGUUUGCCAAAUUCUUGCUCGUCUCCCACAACGUGCCAUUUUCCUAACUCUCAACUACUAGUCUAUGUACUAUACUUUUGUCUUCUACAUUCUUCUACCAUGUGUUUAUAAACAAGUGCAGCCCAAACAUAGAUCUACUCAACACUUGGCGCACCACAAUGGCUCACCACUGGCAUCCCCCACCUCCACCAGACCCCUUUGCACCCCCACCACCUGGACCUCCGGCAACACCUCCACCAGACCCCUUUGCUCCACCACCGCCAGGGCAUCCGGCACCACCUAUGUUUGGGCAGCCUCUACCGCCUAACACUUCUGCACCAGCACCACCUAUUCCGCACAAUCCGCCAGCACCUCAGUUUGGGCAGCCUCCACCUCCUCCAGGUCCAGGAGGACCUCCUCCACCACCCCCAUAUUAGCCUAUAGCAUAAAAUUUUGAUUAGAUUCUUAUAGGAUUGUAACAAUAAAUAAGAGAGUAUAUAUUGUUAUGUUGAAUGUUGGAAGUGCAUGAGAGUGAAAUAAUAAUCUUUAUGUUACAAUAAAUGAGUCGGUGGUUGUUGCUCACAAAUUUCUCACACCCAAAUUCAAAAUAUAAGAAAUAAUUACUGCCAACUUAUCAUUUUGUAUUUGAUUUAUGUCAUGUGUUGUUUGGAACGUAACCAACCCUGAUGCAAGUCAGUUUUUAUUUGAUUCCCUUCACUUGUGUAACCUAUCAAAUAUCAAGAAAUUAUUAAAAUAUUUCUUUUGCCUAAUAAAUUAUAUUGUUAUGGGAUAUAUUCAUCUUUUACAUAAACCUAAUAAAUUUUACUAUUUCAACAGGAAUUUCAGUUAAUUUUUGUAUGAAUUUUUAAAUAUAUUUUUAACAUAAUUUCUGUAAUGGCCCAAAUUUGCCCGACCCAAAUCAGAAGUAAAUAAACAAUAAAUAUAAAAUCAAAAUUAAAAGUCAAAAAACAUUCCCUUUACACUGGGCUCAAUAUGGCCCAAACUAAACACAACCCACUACCCAAAAUCAAAUUACCCAAUACACCCCAGCCUAACUAGCCAAAACCCAAAACCCACUAAAAUCCAAACCAGCUAACCCUAGCCCAAUAUUGGAGGCCCAACAACUUACCCUAGCUGAGAAAGGAACCCUAGACAGUAAACUCCAGUGCUGCAGCAGAGCCAGGCCUCCUCUCGUGCAUGCGCCGCCACACCUUCGAGCCGCAAUCAACCUCUGGCCUCGCAUGCGCGCCACUGCCACUCGCGCUGCGCCGAGCCGCGCCACGUCCCAGCUAGCCUUCGUACGACACCUGCAAGGGACAAACAAACGCAACAGACGCAAAGGAGGGGCCAGCAACAGCAGAAAAUACAAACGAAAAAUGCAGCAGAGAGGAAAAGAAAAACGGAUCGCAUUUUUGGAUUUUGUUUUUUAUUAUUAUUGUUAUUUCGAAUAGGGGGUUAUAAAACAAAAGAAAAAACCCUUUGAGAGGGGGAACUGUAUCAGAAACAGAGAAUAUCAAUAAAAGAGAAAAAUUGAAAGAGGUGAGGGGAUUUUUCCCUUUUCUGCAUCUUUCGUUUUUUUAAAAUGGUUUUUUUUCUGUUCGUCCAUUUUUUUUAUAUACAUAUGCACAUAAAAAAGAGGAGAAAUAGAGAGAGAGAAGGGACGAACGUACCUGGUGGUCGAUCUUUCGCUCCUUCCGUCGCGAUCGGAAACGGGUGAGGAAUCGGGACCCCCAGACGUUAGUCCGUCGAGCGGCGCGCAGAGGGGGUUUCUAGCUUAGGGUUUGCGGGUUUGCUGAGUGGCUUAGUCCUUGUUUUUAGGGUUUUAUGCGUGAUAUAAAAACGGCGUCGUUUAGUGGCCUUUUGACCCGCGCGGUGACCCGACCCGAGGGAAGGAUCCGCGAGUUUCAUCUCAAUGGUCUAUUUCGCAAUGAGCCCCUCUUCAUUUUGUGUUGUUUCAAAUUUGAUUUUCAUUAAUUUUUUAAUUUGUAUUGCACAUUUGGUCUCGAUUUCAAAUGGAUCCGCGUUCAAACGGUGCUGUUUCCUAUGUUUGAUUUUGAAUAUCAGGAUUUAUGUGUUUAAUUGCUGCAUUAGUCCCUUCAAUUUCAAAAAAAACUUCAAACCGGUUCUCUUUUAUUUUAUUUUAUUUAUUUUCAAAUUUUGCCUCAAACACUAGCUUUAAUCCUUUUUGUAUACUUGUUUUUAAAAAAAAAAGAAAGAAAGAAGAUUAACUAAUUUGAGGUCAAUGUUAUUAUUAUUAUUAUUAUUUAUUAUUAUUAUUAUUAGUUUUAUUUCCCCUUUUUAUUUAUUCGUUAAUAUAUUGAAUAGUUUUGCUCUUUAGGUUUAUUUUUUUAUUCUAUAUAUAUAUAUGCAUUAUGCUUGUACAUACAUUUUUAUACUUUAUUUAUGCAUGCAUACAAACGCAUUUUUAUUUUAUAAUAUAUGCCUAUAUAUAUCUAUAUACCUUUUAUUAUUUUCCUAUAUAUAUAUACAUACACACAUGUAUCUUUUAUAUUUAUAAUUUCUAAAAUAUGUAUAUAUGCAUAUAUACUUUUUUUUGUAUUUUCAUAUAAAGAUAUUUUAUAGAAUAUUAUUUUAUAUAUAUACAAUUUAUAUAUAAUUUAUUCUAUAGGUAAAUUUUUGUAUGUAUUAUUUAUUUUAAAGGUUUCGUAUGGUUACUUUAUUGAUUUAUAUGUUACCUUCUGGCAUGCCAUUUUUUUUAGUCAUUUCAAAACAUAUACGUUGGAUUUGCGUUUGUGUUAAUUUACUUGCUUUUUAGGUUUUACUAGCUUUUAGAUAUGAACGUUAAUAGUUGCAUAAUGUAUAAUAUAAGAUGGUUGCGUUUAUGUGCGUUGUAUUGUUUAUUUGUAUCAUAUAGAUUCUUUGUUGCUCAUUAGCUUAUAUUAGGCUUACGAAAUUUUCUUUCGCGGUAUUCAUUGUCGUCCCAUCUCGUUUUAUUCGUCAAAAAGUUAUAUUCGAUUUAAAUAUUAAAGUCGUUUUACUCAAAAAAUUUUAAAAUAACGCGAAACUCGAAAUUUGGGGAUCCUCGAAAAGAUUGUGUCCUAACUUACUGGAUUCUAAUCUUCCUCGGGAUCUAGGAGACCGAAUAUUCCUUUUAAUAAACAUACAAAUUUCAAAUAAAAACCCAUUCUCGGGAAUUCGACACGUUGUGUCCUAACGCAUUGGAUAUGACAUGUUAUUUUCUCGAGACGAGGAUUUUAAAAAUAAAUGCAAUGUUCGAUAUUUAGGAAUUUUGUGAAAUUGAACCCUAACUUACUGGGUUUUGAUUUUCUCAUUUGACCCAAAUAAUCGAAUAUCCUUCUCAAAAUGCAUAGGUUUUAAAAGACGAGAGAUAAAUUUAAUUUUGAGGAUUUAAAAUUUCGCACUCUAACUUACUGAAUGUGACAAUUUAUUUCUUCAAAAUAAGUGACCCUUACCAUCCAAUUCAUUUUACUUAAAUUUUCUUUUCAAAUGAUCGUAUUCUAAAAUCUUUUCAAAAUUUCGACAUUAAGACAUUAAACAAUCAAUUCGGUACCAAUUUUGGGCGUCACGAGGGUGCUAACCCUUCCUCGUGCGUAACCAACUCCCGAACCUGUUUUCUCAAAAUUCGCAGACCUAAAAUUGUUUUCAAGGUGAUCCGAUCACACCACAAUAAAAGAUCGGUGGCGACUCCAUUUUCAUUUUCAAAAUCGAUACCCAUUUUUCAAAUUUCAAAAAAGAGGUUUCGACAAUUUCUUUUUCACAUGAGUGAAAAUAAUAUAAUGUUUUUAUGGAUUUCCACGAAAAAGAAAAUCCUUCAGAAAAUUAAAACAAAGUUUGUGUUCACCUACAAAUUUGUUUUUUCUUGAAAUAUCCUUCAGUAAUAAUUUUACGAAAUAAUUAUUUAAUAUUUUCCAAUUUCCUAUUUGGGGCCUAAUAUUGCUUUGCAAAACCCAUUGAAAAGAAAUGAUAUAACAACUUUUUUGUCCUCUUAACUUCAUUAAAAAAGAAAAAAAAUUCAUUUUAACUUUUCAUUUAAUUUUUAUUACUUUUAGCUCAUGAACUUGCAUCUUUUGUCAAAUUACCUCAAAAUGUAUAGAAAAGUUAACAUUUGUUAUUAACUCUAUUGACGUGGGCAUACACAUGAAUUACCAUGUGGAUGACAUGUCAACAUUUAAUUAAUUUUUAAAAUUUUAAAAAUACUAAAAAAUAUAUUUUUUAUAACUUUUAUAUGAUUUUAAUCAUUGCAAUGAUUUUUAAUUUUUAAAAAUAACUUUUUGAAAAUUUUAAAUUUUAAAAAAUUAAUUAAAUGCUAAUGUGUCAUCCACAUAGUAAUCCACUUGUAUGCCAUGUCAGAAAAGUUAAAAAAAUGUCAACUUUUCAUCAAUUUUGGGUUGAUUUGAUAAAAAAAAAUACAAGUUUAAGGGCUUCAAAAGAUUAAAAUUUAAAUGAAUGGCUAAAAUAUAUAUUUUUUAUAAAACAGGAGGGAAAAAUAAGUAUUUAUGCCAAAAAAAAUUCCUUUUAACAAAAAAAAAGGAAAAUUGUUCUUUUUUCUUUCCAACAAGGAAACAAAAACAUAAAAGAUAGUGCACCUACAAUGUGAGUGAAAAUUUUAUAUGAUAAAAUUUCUAAAAAAUGAUAUAAUUAUUAAAUAUAUUUUUUGUUGAAAUAAUAAAGUUUAGUUAUUAAAUUUUAUAAGAUUUUGGGUUCGAAUAUUAUUAUAUGCAAAUAUUUUUUAAAAUUUUUAUAUAAAAAGAAAAAUUAACCCUCAAAAUAAUAAGUAUUGCUUUGUAAAAAUAAGAGACUUUUCAUAAAUUUACCACUGGGUUAGGUCCUGAUUGAAGAGUAAUACCAACUUAGUAAGAAUCUUAAAUAUUAGUACAGGCAAAUUAAUUUUUGAAUCAAUUAAAAAAUAUCACAUGUCAAGUCGAAAUUAUCGUAAGUUUAAAAUGAUGACAUCAUAUACUAAUGUUAUAAUUAUUUUUCUCUAAAUUUAGAUCAAUUAAAAGAUACAUAAUAAAAAUUUAUAUUAUCACUAAUUAAACUAAAAUGAUUAAGUGAUAAUAUUAUAUUAUUAUUUUAGGGUAGAUAAAAUAGAUUAAUCUUUGUAAAUCACUCAAUUGAAAAGUUAACAUUUAACAAGUACUUUCUUUUACUCGAGUAAUUGACGCUAUAAAAAGGGCCACCUCCAAUCCAUUGAACACAUAUUCAUAAGUUCAAAAGUCCUCUUAAGAAGUCUUUGAAGAAAUUGAAAAGCUUGAAGAAAUUUUGACGAGCACCAUAUCAGCUAUAAAGGAAAAUCGUUGUAACACCCCGUUAUUUGACCCAAUUGCCGGGUCCGAGUUACAAAGUGCUACAUUCGUUGCCGGAGCAACUAUAAUUAUAUUCAAUCACAGACCGUUAAACAUUCAAAUAUAGCUAGAACAUGAGUAUCAAACGAUACAUAAUCGUUACCGGGUCUUAUACGAACUUAUGAAAGCUUUUCUAAUCACCUAAUGUCGAAAUAGGGACAAACUGUAAAAAUUUUAAGAUUUUCAGUUGAUGUUGCAAUGCCGAGGGUUUCUCAUCACGAUGCAACUCUCUAUUUGAUGCUCGUCAUGACCUUGAAUCAUGACGUUGCCACAUGGCUUUGUGGUCGCAACGUCAGAGAUUUGUCGUCGUGACGUGACUCACUGUUUUUACAAUAGCCAACUUGGUACGAGUUUAGGAAACCUAAAAUUAUAUUUAAAAACUUUCCAUUCUACUAUACCAUGUUUGGGAAUGUGUCCAUAUUGUAGUAAACAUAUAAUAGUUUUCUAUGUAUUUGAACAAUGAAUAAAUAAAUAAAGUUAAUUUUAUAUUUCAUUGUUAUAUAUUUUGUGUUUCUGUCUUUCAUGUUUUGCAUACAUAGAAAAAUUAUGAAUAGUAAAUAUUAGCUCAUUGAUUGUCUAAGUUCAAAUUGAUGAUAAGUGGAAUUGUAAGAAUAUUUAAAUUAUAAGAAAUACAGCUUACUUCAGUAGAUAAUCUAAACGAGUCCGUAAUGCCGUAAAAGAAUCAAAGUGAGUGUAACAGCCUGUUUUCAAUGAAAUCAAAACAAUAGUUUCGGGACCACAAAUCCGAUGUAGAAAAUUUUAUUUUAAUAUUAAUAUGUGUCUGCAACGUGAUAGUAUUAUGGUAUAAAAAUUUCGUUAAGAAAUUUUACCGUUUGUAUGCUCAAUUUGUGAAAAAAGACUAAAUCGCGUAAAGUGUGAAAGUUGUGUUCUAUUAGCUAAAGGUGUUAAAUAGCUAUAGAACUUUAAAUUGGAUGUCCUUAUAUGGUAAUUAAACCAUUAAUUGAGUUAGUGGAUGUGCAUGGCUUGGCAAUUAUGAAAUUUUUAAAGUUAAGUAAGGGUAAUUUGGUAAAAAGCCAAUUAAUGAUAAAAUAAAAUAGAGCAAAAGUGUUAUCAUCUUUAAUUCAUCUUCUUCCAACCUAUUUUACCAAGGAAAGAAGCCAUUUUUUUUGCUUGAAGCUAGGUUCGGCCAAGAACUUCAUGCAUGUGAGUGAUUUUUUAUUCUGUUUUUGUUAAUUUCUAUGUUUCUAGGAUCGUUGUAGCUUAACCUAGCUAGCCCGAUAAUUAAUUUGCAAAACUAUUGAAUAGUUUUAGAUUUUCCAUUGAUGAAUAUUUUAAGUUUUUAAAUUUUAAUGGAAGAAAAUGAAUCUUUGUUGUUAGUUAAACAACUUUUGUUAAGUAAAUUUUGAUAAAAUUGUCCAUUAGGGGUUAAAUUGAGAAAUGUGAAAAUUAUGUGAAAUUGUGAAAUGUAUGGGCUGCUAUAAACAUAUAUAAAAUUUGGUUAGGCUUGGUUAGGGGAGAAAUUGUAUGAAUUUCAUUUUACGAGCCUAGGGACUAAAUUGUAAAGAAGUUAAAAGUAUAGGGCAAAAUAGUAAUUUUUCCAUAAUAUGAAUUUUGGGUUGAAUUGAAUAGAAUGAUGCCUAAAUGAGUUAGAUUUGAUUAUAUAGAUCAAGAAAAGCAACGUACGGAAUUAGAUUAAGGGAAAUAUAAAGUUUUGGAUUGAACGAUCAUUUUUCUUCGUACGUGUUCAAGGUAAGUUCGUGUAAUUAAAUUCCGUAUUUAUAUGCUUUAAUUGAAAUAUAUGUAUGUGAAUGGUUUAAUUAUUAUGUAUAAUUAUCGAGUGCAUAAUCGAUGACAUACGAGAAAUACCGAGCCCCGUUUGAACUUUAGGAAUUCGUAGGAUACAAAUGACAUGUCAUUAAGGUUAUCAAUUUGGUUGUGGUCCUGCAUGUGUUGCGAACACACUAAAGCUCGUAUGAGCUUAAUGAUUUCAACUCAUGAGAGCUUACCGAUUCACAAUUUGUAUGAGCUUACCGUUAUUUAACUCGGAGGAGCUUACCGUUUAUCGUUCGUAUGAGCAUACAUGUACAAGAAUUGAUGAAUUUACAGUUUAGUACACCUCGUGUGUAUUACCCGUGUAUCUAACGAUAUUCUAAGUGGUUCAACGGGCAUAGUGUUAUUAUGAGAUCAUAUAAGUUCGAUACGAACAAUUACAAGUAUUUACAUGGAAAUGAUAUAUGUAUGUUAUACGGAUACACGAUAUAGAUGGUACAUGUACAUGGAAUUUAAUAAUUGUUGAAUUCAUACAUGUUUCUCAGUUUUAUAUGAAUACAUGGCUAACUUGGUUAAUGGUUAUGUGAUAGGCUUUGGCCAAAUAGAAUUGUGUUAUGCUUUGAGUUACUUACCUAAAUUUGUGGUUAAAUGGUAAGUUUAAUUUUGUAUUAUACAAACUUACUAAGUUUAAUUGCUUACUCUGUUUAUUUUUCCGUGUUUUAUAGUGAUUCAUAAGCUCGUUCGGAUUGGAAGUUGUCGGAGACAACAUCACACUAUCAAACGAUAUUUUGGUACUUUUGACUUUAUAUUUUGGGUUAAAUGACAUGUAUAGGUCAUUUUGGCUAAUGAUAGCCUAUAUGUUUCGUUGUGUUUUAGCCAUUUGUGUUGGCUUAUUUUGUGAACAUAUUUUGUUAUGUAAAUAUGUAAAUAGCUUUAUUGUAUAUGAUGUAUGGUUGCCAUGUGAAUGCCUUGGUUGUGAAUUAGUAUUUUGGAUACCAAAUGAUUGAGAUUGAUAAGUGUCAUAUAUGUUAUGUUUUAGGCACAAUGAUGCAUAUAUAUGUUGGACCAUUUAGGUACAUUUUGGAGGCAUAAUUGACAAAUUUUAAAUUGGUUAUUUGAAGUGUCUACUGGUAUCAUAUGUGUAUGUGAUGUUUUAACAAGUUAUAAGCUUGAUAUUAGUUGGUUUUGAAUGUCUAAUUAUGCCAUGUUUAUAUGCAAAUUUUUGUGUUUAAGUUAGUACAAAUUUAGGUGAGAAAUAUGGCUUGGAAAAUGACCUAUUUUUGCAAACACGGGCAGAGACACGAGCGUGUGUCUCAGCCGUGUGUGACACACGGCCAGGUGACAUGUCCAUGUGUCCCCUGCAACUUCUAUAGAAAACAAGUCAGUAGCUUCACACGGCCUAGCAAACGGCUUGGCACACGAGAGUGUAAGGCCAUUUCGAAGGGUAUACGCCUGGCACACGGGCGUGUGGUCUGGCUGUGUGACCCAAGUCGGUGAGUUACACGGGCUAGGACAUGGGCAAGAACAUAAGCGUGUGGCCCUAUUUCGAAUGUCCACACGGUCUAGCCACACGGGCAUGUGUCCCCUGCACUUUGAAAAUUUUACAUGUUUUUCUAAAAAAUUUCUUGAGUACUCAGUUUAGUUUCGAACUAUUUUUAAUUUCUAUUUGGGGCCUCGACCAUGCGUAUAAAACUCGUGUGCUUUGAUAUAAGUUGAGGCUUAUUCUUUAAAGAUGAUCGAGCACUUAAUCAAUAUGUUGGGUACAUGACUUGUGUAUGUCAUGGAUUUACUGGCAACAAAUUCAUAGCUCGAUUAAAGAGUUAACGGUAUCCUUUCAUUGGCGUUGUGUGGAUUGAUAAAUAUGGAACGUGGCCACGGGUUGCUUGUUCUUAAACGAACAAUUUAUCACAGUUAUUUGUUGACAGUGAUCAUAUUAAUCAUUAUGAAGACACAAUGGUGACAAUGAGAUAAAAUAGAAUUGUAUUGAGUGAACGAAUUUCACUCAAAGAAAUCAAGGAUAUUAUAUGAGGGUAACACACUCAUGAUGAGGUCAUUAGACAAAACAGUUGGAUGGAUUGUUUUUAUAAAGAAUAUACAAUAAGGAGUUUUUAAUCGUGAUACUUCUUGUGGACUGGCUUCAUGAUUAAGUAAAUUAUGAAUUAUCGAACGAUACUUCUAGACAUAAUUGCAAUUACUAGAGCUUAAUUGUACAUGUCCGAUUGGUCCUUCCGCUGCUCAACAAAAACCAGAUCGGACUACAUUUGAAUCAGAAGAAAAUUCUAUGACUUUGAAAAAAAUUUAAUUGAGUUGAUGCCAUGGAGUAUCUCAUCCAUCGUUUCUGACACCACUAAAAAACGGGAUAUUACAUUUACUAUCCCAGCGGACUAUCUCUAUUUUGUGUUUAGUGUCCCAACGGACUAUCUCAUCUGUUUUUACUAUCCCAAUGGACUGUCUUUGUUUUGUGGAUGCUAUGGAGUCUUUCACCCGUGGUCUUGCUCAUUAUACUUGGAUGUCAUAACAUCUUUCAUCUAUGGUCUUACAUCGUAUACCUUAUACCUUGUACCGUGCUGUCAUGACAUCUUCCAUCCAUGGUCUUACGUUACAUACCUCAAACUAGACUGUCAUAGUAUAUUUCAUCUAUGGUCUUGGGCCAUAUAUCGUCGUCAUUGUAUCGCCCCAAAGGAUCAGUCAAUACUGCCAUCGCGGUAAACAUCUCUCUAUGGUUUUUAUUUCCCAAAUUCUCCUCCCAUUACCUCCUUUACACCACCUAACAUUGAUGCUCGAACACCGCAGUGUUCCCUUCGCAAUGCCCAAAAUUUCGCCCAUUGAGGUAUCUAAAAGGUUCACUCCCCAUUUCCCAUCCUAAUUUCACCUAUCCCAUUGAGGUUUUUCCCAUACUUAUGCAAUGAAUGCACAUAUCUCAUAUUUCAUGUUGAUUUCACUUCCCGGGGCUUCGAGAAUUACCUACACAUGUGCACGGAACAAACAACCGUACGUUUAGUGAUAAUGCUUGAUGGUACUUUCAUGAUUCAAGGUAAUAUAACAUAAAGUAACAUUUAUAACAUCCUAUGAUAUUUAUAAUCUCAAUGCCUACUAAUACAUAUUCUAUAUUGUAACAUAAGUAUAUAAUUAAUUACAUAUAAAUGUAUACAAUUAUCAAGGCAAACUAAUUCAACUAUCAUAGAAAAAGAAUGAAAAAAUUCAAUUGCAUUUAUCAAAAGCUAUCUUAAGGCCUUUAGUUAUCAACACCAAUUAACAAUUUAAGACAUUCAAAAAGCAUUCGUUAUGAAAUUCAAUAUCAAGUUCAUUUCACAUAAAAAUCUGUUUAACAAAUCGCCUAAACCUCUUUGUGGAGUCUAUUGACUCAUUCAUAUUCAUUUCAAUAUUAUAUUCUAUUAUUAAUCUAUUUAUUUCAAUUUCAAAUAUAAUGUUACGCCUGAUGGAACCUUAGUAAAACAGACUCAAAUACAUGGGUAAACUACAUCACACCAGAUAGCUCGUAGGAGCUUAAACUACAACACACCAGGGCACCAAAGUGCAAAGUCUGAAAGCAUCAAAUGCUUAUUCAUAUGCUAAUACACCCUCCACCACACCAUAUCAUACUCUAUGAUCCACAAAAAAUGCUAGAUCCCGGUAUAACCUGUCAUGGCAUCUGUACAAACACAUAUCCCAUACAAGCGCGCAUAAAAAUCUAUUGGUAUGUCAAUCGUAUAUUAACCUUUUACUAAGUUUACACGAGCCUCAAUUAUAUAUGUAAGUAUUUUUCAUACAUGUAAUCAUCUUACUCUCAUAUUCAUAAAUUGUAUUCGAUCACAUAUGUAUUUUUGUACCCUAUACACUGUUCUAUCGCAUAACAAUUAUUUUGCAAUUUAGUACAUAUAUCAUUUCUCGGCCGAAUUCACAAUCACAACCCCAUUUCAACAUCAAACACACAUAUUUCAUAUUAUAAGAUAUAUUUCAAUAUAGUUUUCAUAUCACAUAUCAUAAUUUGAGUAUCUCAUAUCAUUUCUCAUUUAUUCAUUUUAGUCUUCUAUCUUGAUGUUCUAUAUCAAAUUCAAUUGAAAAAUCCAUAUUAUCAUAAUAGACACACCUCAAUGAUUCAACAAUCAAUAAACAUGCAUAUAAAAUCAAACAAUUUUAUCCCAAAUGAUAAAAGUACAACCCAAAGUUUCAAAUGUCACUUGUCGAUAAUUUUUGCUUUUCCUUUCCCUUUCGGCUAUUCGAUGUUGUCGUUAGCUACGGAUAAUCAUAAAAAAUAUCAUACAAUCAAUUUCCUGCCAAAUCAAAAUCAAAUACGAAAUCACAAAGACUUUGCAAUUUAUUUAAUUUAGCCCUAAAAAUUAGGACGAGCAUAACUUUCAAUUUAGGGCUUUGGUUAAAAUUUGAUUUCACCUAAACUCAUCAGAGACCUUCUAUUUUCUAUUCCUACCAAAAAUUCAUGACAAUUUUUCAUUUUAUCCAAUUUGGUCCAUAAUGUACAAAACUAACAAUUAAGCUUUACAAUUUAGUCCUUUUUAUAAACUAAGCUUAAUUUCUAACAACUUCACACCAAUUUCAUCUAUUUCUCAACAAGGACAACUUUAAAAAACUUUAAAAUUUUUACAAAUUGAUACAUGAGCUAGCUAAAUCAAGCUCCCAUUACCUUAAAUCUACAAAAAAUUAUAAGAAAAGGGCUUGAUUGCAUACCAAUAUGUAGCCGAAAGCUUGAAGAAACUUAAAGUUUUCUUCUUCUUCUUUCUUUGGUUUUGAUGGUGGAAGAAGUUGAAUUAAUGUUCAUCUUUCCUUCCACCAAGCUAUAUGUUUAAUUAUAAUAAUUUUAAUUACUAAUCGUAUGUAACGAGAAACCAAUACCACAGUUCAUUAAUACUUGGUUAAGAAUGGUUUAUUAAUCAUUUUGGCCUCUUUGGAUAAUUGUAAUUUAAGUUUGUAAGCCUUUUUCUAAUUAAAAAUAGAUUACGAUUGGACUUUUCCAAUUUAGUCACUAGGCCUUAAUUAACCAUAAUUUUGGCUAAAUUGACUAUCCAAAUUUCAAUUCAUCUAUCGGGUUGUUAUAAUCGUCUUUCGAUCUAGUUCAAUAGAGAAGAGGAAGUCAAAGGGCAUUUUUGAUGAAAGUCGCCUUUCGAUCUAAUUCAAUUGAUAGAAAGGAGACUAAACUUGUUUUUUGAAGGCCCUUGAGGUGGGAUCAUCCUUCCAUCUAUGAUCAAGUUUAGAUGACCCUUGGAGAGAUCUAAUUUGAUUCCACUCAUAAAGGAGAUAAAACCUAUUUUCAAAAUCAAGUCUCGUCAACCCUUGAAGCAGACUCAACCAUCUAAGUUCAAGUCUCAAAGACCCUUGGAUUGAAACUCUCUCCAAAUCUAUUUUCAAAAUUAAGUUUCGAUAAAUCUUGAAACAUACAUCAUUAAUUCGAGAUCAAAUCUCAAAAACACUUGAAUCCAAUCAGAUCAAAUUCUCAAGCAAGCACUCUCCAAAUCAAGUCUCAACUAUCCUUGAAGCAACUAGUAUCCUUCUAAUAUCAAGUGUAAAUGAACUUGGGUCAAAGCUCAACCAAAGAGAAAAAUCAAAUGAAUUUUCUUUGUAAUUGGAAAAUCCAAAAAUUAUAUUUCUCAAAGUUUAUAAAUAAAAGUUAACCCCAAGUUUUGUCGGUACAAUUAGUAUAGAUUGCAAACUCAUACUUUCAAAAUAAAUGUUUGUAUUUAAUAUGCUAGGAGUUCCUAAAUUUAAAAUUUAGUGCUUAUACUUUAAUUUUAAAAAAGUAAAUUCUGUACGUUUUUUUUUUUAGUUUAAAAAUCUUGGGCAUGUUAACUUCCAUCCAAUUUUGGCCUUAGUUGUUCGCAUAUUGUAAAAAGUGGCAAAAUAAUCUUUUUUAGUUCUCAACAUUUACAAUUUUUGUCAAUUUAACCUUUUACUUUUUAAAAAUAUAUUAAAAAAAUCUAUUUUUUUUAUCUUUUCAAUAAAAAUUGUAAUGUUUUUUUAAGAUACAAAACUAUUAAAAAAAACUCUUUAAAAUUCAUAAAUUGAGAAUAAAAAAUCAUUUUAAAAAUUAUUAAAAAUAUAAAAAAAUUCAAAAAAAAGUAUUUACUCCUUAAAUGUAUUUGUUUGGAUCGUAUUAAAUAAGAUUUGAACAAGUAUUUCCUAAUUUAAAUUUAAAUACACUAUAUAUAUUUUUUCCCGUUUAAAAUACAGUAUAUAAAAUUUUAAGAAAUAAUUAUAAUAUAUAAAUUUUGUAUAAAAAAAAAAGAUGGUGCAGUUUUGCUGAUGCAUUUUCAAAAGGCAUGGCUAGAAGUAGUGAAUCACAUAAGUUUGUUUCAUUCUAAAUUUCAAACUGCCAUGAUGAUGAUUGUAUCAUAUAUUUUAGAAUUUUUAUGUUGAUUUGUAGAAUAAGGAUAAAAAGACAAAAUUUUAAAAUUUUAAAAAGUAGAGGGGUGUUUUUAUACAUUAAUUGAAAUAUAAAAAAAGUAGAGAAAAUUUAGAGAUCAUAGAUCCGUGUUUGUUUUGAAAACAAAAGCUCUAACCUUGGAAGUAUCUGGAAUACUUGCACACCUGUACUUCACCCCUUCAUUUCUUUGUGGCUAAGUAAAAUCCUUUCCCGUCCGUCAGUCAUCCAACUGUCAGUCUCAAAUCAUUCUAUUACAUCUCUACUCUCUAUUUAUCUAUAUAACACCAAAUCCCAUAUCUCUAACAUCUAAAUCCUGCCAAUUAAUGGAGUUCCGUAGGCACCCGCCCUCCCCACCGCCCCCAAACCCUUUUGCACCACCCCCACCACGACAAGAUCCUUUUGCACCACCACCACCCCCCUUAUAUGGUGCACCCCCACCACCUCCGCCUUACUAUGCUGCACCUCCUCCUCCCGCACCCCCUCAUCACCACCAUCCACCAGGUCCACCGCCACCGCCUCAUGCUUUUUCACCACCUCCUGGACCUCCUCCACCACCUUAUUUUGAUCCAUAUAGGCCACCACCGCCUUGGAAUCGCCCUCCUCCACCAUACUAGCUAGCUAUGAAUAAUUGCCUUGGGAGUUUUAUAUUUCAGCAGUUUACGAGCUUUAUCUCCCCAUGACGCAAUUAGAGGUCAUGUAGAUUUCUUUACCCUUCUUCCUUUUCCCCGCUCUGUCUGUAAUUUUCCUUGUUUUUAAUAGCCUUAUGAAUUUAUUUCUAAUUAUAUAUGUGCUGCCCAGAAAAAAGACGAUGCUAUUAUGUCCCCCCCCCCCAAAAAAAAAAAAACUAGGAGUAGAUUGGAUAACAAAUUAUGCAGUAAAAUAGAUGAUGUUCAACAAUAAGAAAAUCCAAUUGAGCAGGUGGAAGAGCCCAUUUUUUAUGCAUUUCCCGUACAAUCAUUUUAGUGUUGCUUUUGUUUGCAUCUGCUUCAGUCGUAUUGUGAUUUUAUCAGCUGUAGACUCUUACAAGGUACGAAUCUCGAUAAAGUUGAUCAAAUCAACAAGUUCAAAGUUAACAAAAAUAGAUUAUGAUGAUAUAUGAAACCGAAUGGAACUGUGGAAAAUAGAGUAGGCUGUCCAAUUGAAUCCAUGAAGAGAUCUUCAAAGAAUUCAAUUGAAGACUAUAAUCAAUCAUCUCAGAUAAGCUCUUGGCAAAUUGAAGUUACAACAUUAGCUUGAAUAAUUGCUAAGAAUCAAACCAACAUAGUUGAGCGUUUAAGCGUGACAAGAAAGUGGGCACCUUUUUUACAGUAAAUAAACAUAACAUGAAAGAGACGUUUAUGCACUUCGAUUUUUUUAUUUGUACGUGAUAAAUAUUUAUUUUUUUAAAUAAUUAUAAUUUCUUAUUUGUACGAAGUCUUAGUGAUAAAUAGUUAUUUUUUUAAAUAAUUACAAUAAGUGAUUUUAACUGAUUACAUUACAUGACUUUUUCUUUUCAUUUUUGUAUCUUGAAGACUCGAUGCUUUUAUCAUUGAAUUGAUUUUUUUUGAAUUUAACAAGUAAAAUAACAACACAAAAAGUUUUACCGUUAAUAUGUACUCAUACAAUAAUAUUUGUCACAAGAAUAAAUUAUAUGCUUAAUAUUAUCAGCAUAUGUAAGUCUCUCAAUUAAAUAGAUUAUUUUGAGAUUUGAAGAUUUAUCAAAUCUUACUAAAACAAAAAAUAAGAUAUGCUGAAUACAAUAUAGUAAUAACAAGUAAUGCACAUUGUAAUACCUAAUUUACCCGGCCUAAUAAAAAUAAAAAUAAAUUUAUUAAAGUCUAUUUACAUUGGCCCAAUACCUAAAAAAAACUAAAUAAAUAGCAGUUCAAAAAUAACCCAAACUAUUUGCCCAAUUCGGCCCACUAGCCUAAACAUUUAAUGACCUAACUUGGCCCAAAUCCCAACCUAAUGGCAGAAACCCUAGCAGAGAGCAAGCCUUAGCGUUGCAGCAGUCCAACUCCUUCGUGCGUGCCAAGCCUCUGCCCUCACGCUUGCGCCUUUGUCUCCGUAUAUGUCAUGUCCCCAACCUUACUCUAUGUACCUGCAAGAGACGAACAAACGAGCAGUAAAAACAGACAAUAAACGAAAAGAGGAGCAAAAAUUGACAGUAAAAAAAGAAAAAGAAAAUAAGAAAAACAGAAGGAAAAAAAAAUUUGUAUUCUUUUCUUAUUUUUCUUUUUGGGUUAUAAAAACCUCUUGGAUGUACCCUUUUUCGAUGACACACAUGCAUUCAAUAUAUAAAAAAAUUGAGAAUACAAAGAAUCAAAAGCAGAGAGAAAGGUGAUUUUCUGGGUUUUUAUUACUUUUGCUUGUUACUGGAUCCUUUUUCUUUACUUUCUUUUUCCAGUUUAUGUUCAUCAAUCGUUGUUCAAAAGAGAAAUAUUAGAAAGAAAGGGAGGGACGUACCUGAUGGCGCGAUCUUAGCCCUCUUCACCACCAUCGGAGAACGGACUAGGUUCGAGCGUCGUUUGAAGGUUCUCAAUGCACAGAGCGGCGCAGGGCAUUAUUUCAGUUUAGGUUUUGUUUUAAUGUUGUGGGCGAUAGUUUUUUUAGGGUUUUAUUUUAGUUUAAUCGCAAGAUUUAAAACGUCACCAUUCAGAGCCCAUACAUUGGCACUUUGUCGUUCGAUAGCCCGAUCCAAGCGGUGACCCGAUCCAGGGUAGGAUCCGCGCAUACUGGACUAGUGGUCUAUUUGCUUAAUAGGUCCUUGCGUGUUCAUAGAAAUUGCAAUUCUGAUUUCCCUUAAUUUAUUUGUAUUUGGUAUCAUACAUCAUGUUUUCAUUUAGAUCCACGACUGUACGGUGUCGUUCAAGGCUGAGACCCGCGCGGUGACCCGACCCGAGGGUAGGAUUCGCGCACUUGGGUUUAUCGGUCCAUUUGUGCAACAAGUCCCUUUUUCUUUUGUGUUGUUUCAAUCUGAUUGUGUUUAUUUUUUUUAAUUUGUACCACACAUUUGGUUUCGAUUCCAUUUUGAUCCAUACUUAAACGGUACUGUUUUUGUGUGUUUGGUUUUGAUUAUUUAUUUUUGCGUUUAAUUGCCGUUUUGGUCCCUUAAGUUUGAAUCGAUUAAUAAUUUAGUUCGUUUUUUUAUUCUAGUUGAAAUUUAACCUUUAUAUAUUUAUUGUUAGAUAUAUUUAAUUAUUAUUUUGACAUAGUUAUUUUUAACAUUAUUUUAAUAUUUAAAUUUAAUAUUGUUUUUAAGCUUAUUAUUAGUAUAAUCUAAAAUAUAGUAUUACUAUUUAAAUUAUUAAUUAUAUUAUUUAAAGUUAUCAUACAUUAGUUUUUUAUUCAUUAUACGUUCUUUUAAUUUUUUAUAUUAUUAUUUAAUUUAUCAUUUAUCAAUACAUAUUUUUG